rnacentral:rRNA from 1 species
UACGAAGGGGGCGAGCGUUGUUCGGAAUCACUGGGCGUAAAGGGCGCGUAGGCGGCCCUCCUUGUCGCGUGUGAAAGCCCCGGGCUCAACCUGGGAACGGCGCGCGAGACGGGGGGGCUGGAGUUCGGGAGAGGAGCGUGGAAUUCCCAGUGUAGAGGUGAAAUUCGUAGAUAUUGGGAAGAACACCGGUGGCGAAGGCG